rnacentral:rRNA from 1 species
AUUGAACGCUGGCGGCAGGCCUAACACAUGCAAGUCGGACGGUAGCACAGAGAGCUUGCUCUCGGGUGACGAGUGGCGGACGGGUGAGUAAUGUCUGGGGAUCUGCCCGAUAGAGGGGGAUAACCACUGGAAACGGUGGCUAAUACCGCAUAACGUCGCAAGACCAAAGAGGGGGACCUUCGAGCCUCCCACUAUCGGAUGAACCCAGAUGGGAUUAGCUAGUAGGCGGGGUAAUGGCCCACCCAGGCGACAAUCCCUAGCUGGUCUGAGAGGAUGACCAGCCACACUGGAACUGAGACACGGUCCAGACUCCUACGGGAGGCAGCAGUGGGGAAUAUUGCACAAUGGGCGCAAGCCUGAUGCAGCCAUGCCGCGUGUAUGAAGAAGGCCUUCGGGUUGUAAAGUACUUUCAGCGGGGAGGAAGGCGGUGCGGUUAAUAACCGCGCCGAUUGACGUUACCCGCAGAAGAAGCACCGGCUAACUCCGUGCCAGCCGCCGCCGUAA